AAUCAUGAUUGAUAUGUGGCUUUUGGAUGAUGGGGGUUUUUGCAGGCUUUUUGAAAACAAAAAGUCGGCUCUCCUGAAAUGUAUUAGUGGUAUCUGAGGGGCUACUCUGGGCAUGAUAAAAUUUUGUCUAUGUCUUCUUGAAUAGUCUCAAUAUGAACGCUUCUGUUGCACUUUUGUUUUUUGACUUGACCUCAAAUCAGGUAGGACUACCCGCUGAACUUAAGCAUAUCA
rnacentral:rRNA from 1 species